rnacentral:lncRNA from 1 species
AGUCUUAUCCGUACCUGAAACAGGAGAGGAAACGUGACGCCUUUCACGCGGUAUUGAAUAUUAUCAACAAAAAAGGAGACGUGAAAAAGAUCAACAUGAAAGUAUAUACUUUGUUCCUGAUACUGAUCGUGUUCCUGUCAUCGGUUCUCGAAGUGAACACCCAAGUUAUCACACGUACGAGGAACUUCCCCGGAGAACGGCGUCUCGGCAGCAUUAAUUAUGGUCAAUAUAAAUUCGGAAAGAGAGGAUACCAAAGGAAACGGAAUCCAAACAGCCCUAACCCACCGAGAAGAGUGCUUGGGUAAAUAUUCCUCCAGCAUCAAGAACCAAGAACCAAGAACCACGAACCACGUUGUCCCAUGACUCUUUCAGAAGCACAGCCAGGAACCUUGAUGAUGAUGACUUGAAGGAUCACCUUGAUGAUUACUUGAAGGAUCACCUUGAGGGUACUUUGAAGGAUGACCUUGAUAAUAUUUUGAAGGAUGACUUUGAUGACUUGAAGGAUGACCUUGAUAAUAUUUUGAAGGAUGACCUUGAUAAUACUUUGAAGGAUGACCUUGAUGAUACUUUGAAGGAUCACCUUUGUGAUGACUUGAAGGAUGACCUUAAAGGUAAUUUGAGGGACAACCUUAACGAUGACGAAGGAUGAUGACCUUAAUGAUGACUUGAAGGAUUACCUUGAUGGCUACUUGAAGAAUAAUCUUGAUGUUAAGUUGGAAGAUAACCUUAGUGAUGACUGACUUGCAAUGUUUCUAAGGCUGUUGAUGCUUGAAGAAUCUUGAUGACUAACUAAUCAUGAUGUAAGUUGCAUCUACAGCCUAAGAUGCAACGAGUCUUUAAGGAUCAUUAUUGCAAAAUCAAUGUUGAUUUUGCAAGAUCGCUGAACUAACCUGGAAGAAAAUGUAGGCCUAAAUCUUGCUAGCGAAAAGAUAGGGUUAUAAUUCGCAAUUGGUGCUAUAAUUCCAACGCUUAGUAAAGUAUAUGUUAUAUUGCUGUUAAUAAUGUUAUAUUCUGUUACAUUCAGAUAUGUUUAUGCUGUUGAAUCGAUGUUGCCAUAACAAUGUAAUCUUGUUAUAUCAUAUAUCAUGCUUGUUAACUGUUUUGUAUCAUGCAAUUGAUCAAAGUGUUAUAUUCUCUAUUGUUAAUUGUUGAAACACAAUGCUUGUUAUACCAUGAGCUUGUUAGAAUAAAGAUAACAGUUAUCA